CAACCCCCGCGUUCUAGAUGGACCAAAAGACUCCUUUCCAGAUCCAGCAAGCAGCACAGGAGCAAAGCAGCAGGCCGUAGCCUCGCCAUUUGCAACCGCACUUGGAUGCUUUUCGAGCCUGCUCCCUCCAGGACAGAACGGGGAGCGUCACCAGGAUCCAAAUGGCUACAAGAACAGACUCUGAGAAACCAUGUAAAUGUCCCUAAUGGAUGCACAGCUGGCAAGCUGGUAGGGUGAGGGCAGUUUCCAGCACAUCAUCUCCAGUCUCGCGGAGCCACACACACAUGGUGUUGGGCAGAGAUGGACUUCCACUUGACCCCGACCACUGACAUCUGACCUUUUGCAUCUGUGAGAGCAUGUGCUUAACACUUGUCAGCUGCACUUGCUUGAAGGAAGGGAAGUGGGGACAGGAGGAGAUAAAGACAACACCAUUCCAAAAAUAGGCCUCUGCAUCUUCUUGCCAACCUUCUCUCUUCCCGGAGGCCCCCUGGGACUUCCGUCAAAACCUACCCAAGCGUGUGCCCAGCUCCCAGCUCCCGGCCAGGCCGCUGGCGCCGUGAUGAGCCAGAACCGGUCUCUGUGCGCGGCCCGCAAAGACCCCGCCUGGGGGCCCUCCGGGCUUGUCACGAGGCCCACGCUCGAGGUCUCUUUCCAACCUCUCCUUGAGAGCUGGGGACACAACCUUUUGAGUGACAUGUACGGAUUCUUUUCUGUGCUGGAGACAAUCCACGCACCUGUCAGUUGGAAAGCAGCUUCCCCACAACGUUCUAUACCUGAACUAUGGCAAAGGUCACACGACUCUAUACGAUUAUGGCAGAGAGUCACCCCACAGUAUACUCAGAACGGGUGAAUUUUAUGGGAUGCAAACUAUACCUCAAUAAAGCCGUCUCAAGAAAAAGUCAGCGUCCACCUCACCUGGAUGUUUCUGUUCAGCACUGGACCUGAAGUGGGGGCCUGUGUUGUCUCUACAUGUGGACAGCCUCUUGGCCCCUGUGGUUCAGAGGCUGGAACAGAGACUCUGCCGAGGGGGAGGCUGGGGCCAGGGUUCCAGGGUGAGGAGGAACCUGGUGAAGGGGCUUCCAGGGGACAGGCUUCCCGCCAGCAGCAGGAAGAGAGGACACUGACAGGGAAAAGAAAGGGCACCCAGAGGAAGGUGGGUGAGCUACACAGCACGCCAGGGUGAUGGGGGGGCUGGGUGGGGGAGUGGGAGGAGUUUCAUGUUAGAUUGAGCCAUCUGCCACUGCCAGUUUUGUAGGUCAAAACGGCUGAACACUGGCCCAACCUCACAUGUCCGUGUGUGCUAUGGAUGGGGAGUUCAGACUCCGGGGUCUGCUUACAGGCUGAGUGACCGAGGGCUCAUCACUUAAACUCUACGGGCCUGCAUCUUCUCACCUAUAAACAGGAUGGCACAGCCACACCCCGGAAGCACACUUUGAUUUCCACGUUUUAAUACAUACACAACGCCCAGCACAUGGCAGGCUCACCAAGGGCUCAAGGAGGGAGCAUCCUUCUUUCCUGCUCCCCCACCCGCCUCUUCGCCUUACGUGGCCGCCUCCAGAGCAGGCAGAAGAGCAGAAUGAAGCUUGCACGGCCAGCCUCCCACAGGCAUCUCUCUUCCCUUGUAAGACCAGUCCCCGAAUAUGUCAGGACAGUUCUGCUUGGCGAAGGAGACCCCCACUUUCCUGAUGUUACUACAGAAAUACGAGAGCGCCGACUGUCCCUGGGGCCCAGGGCUGUGGCUGGCAUCCUCUAUGUGGGGGAACCAGGAAAUCAAACCAAAAGACAAAUGGCCCAAAGGCAGAGCCGGGGGCAAAGUGAACCAAAGGCCCUGGUUACCGACACACCCAGUGGGUAAGGGUGUUCGCUGCCAGGAGCCACCAGGUGGGCCUGGGUGGCCUCUGCAAAGCCAUCAUGCAAGGCCGUGAGUGCUCAUGGCCAGCUGUGCUAAAGACUAUGGGAGGUCAUGUGGAGAAAAGGCACACGCACCACUCAGCUGGGGCCCAGGAGGACACUCGCCAGGAGCAAAGUGAUCUGAUGCUCAGCUGCCCCCGACGUGGUGCCCCCAGAUGCUGCUGCAGCCGAGGGCCACGGCGCUAAAAUACAACUUCUCUACAAGAAGUGUCCUGGGCUGGUCACUCGGUGUACUCUUCCUUCAGUCUGCAGGCAACUUUAGCUAAUGUCAUAUAGGCAGGAGCAAGGACAGCCAGACUCCAGUGGGAGCAGGGUGAGAGGAGAUGCUGCAGAGGAAAGCUUCGGUUCCUUCUGUAGAAGCCUCUACUGUGUGGGGUCCUUCCUGCAUUCCUGGACCCUCACCUGUUUCUAGGAGGCCAGAGACCUACGCUAGCCAAGUGUCUGCUGGAACAGGUCCCAGCCAGCUAGUGCACUGUCCUUGGGGCCGGUGAGCUGAUGUCCAUGAGCCAUGGGUGCAGGUCAAGGCACACAACUGUGGCAGGGAAGAAAUCCAUCAGCCUGUUUAACUCUCCCGGUGAGUUAGCUGGGCAGGUAUGAAUUAAGCUCUGAUUUUCUGCAAUGGAGGACAUUUCAUUCAGUCUUUCAAAGGCACACCGAGUGUCCAAGCCUGGGACUUAGAAACCUUGCCCUCUCGGGCUCCAUAGACCCGUGGGAGGUAUGAAAACAGAUACAAAACAGGACAUGCCGGAGAGAUACACCACAGUGUGAAUCAAAGUGUAGUACAAUCCAGCGGAAGGGACACUCGUUCACUCAAAAGGUUCUUAACUUUCUUGCCAAUAGAUACCACAAUACCAUGACGGUGUGGCUUCCAAAUUUACUAAGGAGAGACCCCCAGCAAGUCUGGCCUACGAUUCAGGCGCCUAAGCCUGACAAAGCAGUGGCCUCGCCUGCCUCCACACUUGCAUAUGAGGGGUUGGGAGGGCUCAUUCUUAAGGGGGGGAAAAAACGUGCUCUUGGCUUAAUGCCUCAGAGUAAUAAACCACCCUUUAAAAUCGCACCAAAAUGAUCACGUGUUGUCACUGUGGUGGCUCUGAGCUGGCAGCCAGAGCUCUGUCUCCAGCAGCUGCUCAGAGCCGAUGGCACUGCCCGGGCACCGCAGGGGGCAGCUUCC